rnacentral:tRNA from 1 species
GGUGGGUGUAGUUCAGUGGUAGAGCGCCAGAUUGUGGAUCUGGUUGUCGUGGGUUCGAAUCCCAUCACUCACCCUGU